GCUCAUACGGUUUUCUAUACUAACAUAUCAUAAUAUUAUUUUUUAUCUUUUUUGUCGAUAUUACUUAUAUGCUAUAAAUAUUAAUAUUUUUAUAUGUAUUUGGUUAAAAUAAAAAAUAUUUAAUUUCUCGAGAAAUAAGAAUGGCCCUGUUCUUCAGCACUACUUCAAUAUUACUUUUCAGCGAACGAAUAGUGUUUUUCUUUCAUAACAAAUCAGCAUAAGUCAAAUUUUAGCGAAACACACAACAAAUCAGCACAAGUCAUUAAUUGUAGAGUUAGCGGAUGCCUAAUAGAUGGUGAUCUUGAUUCUAUUCUGUGCACAUAUGGAGAGGACUUUUUUUUUCUCAUAAGGCUAACAUUUCUAUGGGCCUCUUUUGAACUACAGAUUAUUUUGUUUUUGUGUUUUUAUAUGAAAAUAAAUUGAUUUCUACCUAUAUAAUUUCAUUGUGAUUCCAAAGCCGACGUAGUUAAUUCUUGCAAGUAUAGACAUCAUUUCAUAUCUUUUGUUUUGGUCCUUGUCCUUGGAUGUCUGCGAGUUUUUUGCACAUGUAUGCUUCAUGGAUCGUGCUAUCCUAAGAGCGUCCCCAAUGAUGAGUUAUUUGGCUGACAAGAAAAAAAUAUGAGAGAAAGUUAUCACUAACAAUGAAGAAAUAACUGAUCUAUUUCAUAUAACUAAGAAUAUGUGAGAGAAGCAUAUGACUCCAAUAAUUUAAAAUAUAUAAAAUAGUCUUUUCUCACCUUUACAUCAGCUAACUG
rnacentral:lncRNA from 1 species